rnacentral:rRNA from 1 species
CGACCCCAGGUCAGGCGAGAUUACUCGCUGAGUUUAAGUAUAUUAAUAAGCGGAGGAAAUGAAGCUUGCCAUGAUUCCCCUUGUAAUGGCGAGCAAACCGAAGAACGCCCAGCUUGAGAAUCGGGCGCCAUCAGCGUUUGAAUUGUAGUCUGGACAAGUGUCCUCAACGGCGGACCAGGCCCAAGUCCCCUGGAAAGGGGCGCCGAAGAGGGUGAGAGCCCCAUCAUGCCCGGACCCUGUCGCACCAUGAGACACCAUCUACGAGUCGGGUUGUUUGGGAAUGCAGCCCUAAUCGGGCGGUAAAUUCCGUCCAAGGCUAAAUACGGGCGAGAGACCGAUAGCGAACAAGUACCGUGAGGGAAAGAUGAAAAAGACUUUGAAGAGAGAGUCAAAGAGUGCUUGAAAUUGUCGGGAGGGAAGUGAAUGGGGGCCGGCAAUGUGCCACGGUCGGAUGUGGAACGGCGAGAGCCGGUCUACCGAUCAGCUCGGGGCUUGGACCUACACGGGUCGUGACGGCGGCCCAAGCCCGGGCUUUUGAUACGCUUGUGUAGACGUCAUCACCUUAAUCUUGGGAUCCAGCACGCACCGUCUCGGCGUGCUUCGGCACCUACGUGCUCUAGGCGUCGGCCUGUGGGCUCCCUAUUCGGCCCGUCUUGAAACACAGACCAAGGAGUCUAACAUGUGUACGAGUCAACGGGCUAGAAAACCUGUAAGGCGUAAGGAAUCUGAUUGGUGGGAUCCCUCGCAGGUGCACCGCCGACCGACCUUGAUCUUUUGAGAAGGGUUCAAGUGAGAGCAUGCCUGUCGGGUCCCGAAAGAUGGUGAACUAUGCCUAAGCGGGGCGAAGCCAGAGGAAACUUUGGUGGAGGCCCUCAGCGAUACUGACAUGCAAAUCAUUCAUCUGACUUAGGUAUAGGGGCGAAAGACUAAUCGAACCGUCUAGUAGCUGGUUCCCUCCGAAGUUUCCCUCAGGAUAGCUGAAGCCCUUAGCGAGUUCUAUCUGGUAAAGCCAAUGAUUAGAGGCAUCGGGGGCUCAACGCCCUCGACCUAUUCUCAAACUUUAAAUAGGUAGAACGGUGUAGCUGCUUCGUUGAGCCACUCCACGGAAUCGAGAGCUCCAAGUGGGCCAUUUUUGGUAAGCAGAACUGGUGAUGCAGAAUGAACUAAAAGUCAGGUUACGGUACCCAAUUGCACGCUAAACUAGAACCCACAAAAGGGUGUUGGUCGAUUAAGAUAGCAAGACGGUGAUCAUGGAAGUCGAAAUCCGCUAAGGAGUGUGUAACAACUCACCUGCUGAAUCAACUAGCCCCAAAAAUGGAUGGCACUUAAGCACGCGACCUAUACCUGGCCGUCGGGGCAAGGGCCAGGCCCCGAUAAGUAGGGGGCGCAGUGGUCGCCCAAAACUCGGGACGCGAGCCCAGGCGGAGCUGCCGUCGGUGCAUAUCUUAGUGGUAGUAGCAAAUAUUCAAAUGAGAACUUUGAAGGCCGAAGAUGGGAAAGGUUCCAUGUGAACGGCACUUACACAUAGGUUAGUCGAUCCUAAGAGACGGGGAAAGCCAGUCUGAUAGCGCAUUUAACGCGAGCUUCGAAAGGAAAUCAGGUUAAAAUUCUUUAACCAGGACGUGGCGGCUGACAGCAACGUUAGAGAGUCCGGAGAUGUCAGCGGGGGCCUCGGGAAGAGUUAUCUCUUCUAUUUAACGGCAUGCUCACCCUGGAAACUGCUCAACCAAAGGUAGGGUCCAACGGCCGGAAGAGCACCGCACAUUACGUGGUGUCUGGUGCGCCCCCGACGGCCCUUAAAAAUCUGAAGGACCGAGAGCCGUCCGCGCCCAGUCAUACUCAUAACCGCAUUAGGUCUCCAAGGUGAACAUCCUCUGGUCAAUGGAACAAUGUAGGCAAGGGAAGUUGGCAAAAUGGAUUUGUAACCUCAGGAAAAGGAUUGGCUCUAAAGGUUGGGCACGGGGGUCCCAGUUCCGAACCCGUCAGUAGCCGGUGCACUUCUCGAGCUACUUUCGCAGCGAGAGAGGGUCGCCGCGUGCCGGUAGGGGGACAGACUGGGAACGGCUCUCUCGGAGGCCUUCUUCGGGCAACGAACAAUAGACUCAGAACUGGUACAGACAAGGGGAAUCCGACUGUUUAAUUAGAACAAAGCUUUGCGACGGUCCCUACGGAUGCUCAUGCAAUGUGAUUUUUACCCAAUGCUCUGAAUGUCAAAGUGAAGAAAUUCAACCAAGCACGGGUAAACGGCGGGAGUAACUAUGACUCUCUUAAGGUAGCCAAAUUCCUCGUCAUCUAAUUAGUGACGCUCAUAAAUGGAUUAACGAGAUUCCCACUAUCCUUGUCUACUAUCCAGCGAAACUACAGCCAGGGGAAUGGGCUUGGCAGAAUCAGUGGGGAAAGAAGACCCUGUUGAGCUUGACUCUAGUCCGACUUUGUGAAAUGACUUGAGAGGUGUAGGAUAAGUGGGAGCUCUCUGGCGAAAUUGAAAUACCACUACUUUUAAUAUUAUUUUACUUAUUCCAUGAAUCGAAGGCGGGGUAUGGCCCCUUUUUUUGGGCCCAAGGUCAACUUCGGCCAGCCGAUCCUGGCGGAAGAUAUUGUCAGGUGGAGAGUUUGGCUGGGGCGGCACAUUUAUUAAAAGAUAACGUAGGUGUCCUAAGAUGAGCUCAACGAGAACAGAAAUCUUGUGUGGAACAAAAGGGUAAAAGCUCGUUUGAUUCUAAUUUCCAAUACGAAUACGAACCGUAAAAGCGUGGCCUAUCGAUCCUUUAGACUUUCGGAAUUUGAAGCUAAAGGUGUCAGAAAAGUUACCACAGGGAUAACUGGCUUGUGGCAGCCAAGCGUUCAUAGUGACGUUGCUUUUUUAUCCUUCAAUGUCGACUCUUCCUAUCAUUGUGAAGCAGAAUUCAACAAGUUUUGGAUUGUUCACCCACUAAUAGGGAACGUGAGCUGGGUUUAGACCAUCGUGAGACAGGUUAGUGUUACCCUACUGAUGGCCGCGUCGUAAUAGUAAUUCAACCUAGUACGAGUGGAACCGUUGAUUCACACAAUUGGUCAUCGCGCUUGGUUGAAAAGCCACUGUCGCGAAGCUACCGUGCUCUGGAUUAUGACUGAACGCCUCGAAGUCAGAAUCUGGGCUAGAAGCGACGCACGCGCCCUCGCCUGAUUGCCGACCGGCAGUAGGGGCCUUUGGCCCCCAAGGGCACGUGUCGUAGGUGCAGCGACAGCGAUGGACAAGUCGCAGGCACCUCCUUGGAGCGUAAUUCCCACCGAGCAGCGGCUAGAACCCUUUGCAGAUGACUUAAGUCACAGAGUAUUGUAAGUUACAGAGUGGCCUUGCUGCCACGAUCUACUGAGAUUCAGCCUAUUGUCGCUUCAAUUCGU